UCCCUGGUGGCUCAGACGGUAAAGCGUCUGCCUACAAUGCGGGAUACCCGGGUUCAAACCUGGGUCAGGAAG
rnacentral:tRNA from 1 species